ensembl:lncRNA
UUUCAAAGUUUUUUAAGUGAUAUUCCUUUAGAAAUAAUGAUUGGUUAUUUCUUAGAAUGUUAUUUAAGGUGUUAUUUUGAUACAUUUUUGGACAAUGAGACAGCUUUAAAACAUUGAAACUACCCGUCUCAUUUUAUUUAUUUAUUUUUUUUUUUGUUAUCAAACUAAAAUGUUCCCAUUUCCCCCCCGAACCCUGGGCAUUGUUAAUGGGUCUGUGUUAGAACUCUCAAAAAAUAGGAUGAUUGAAAAUAUAACAUGCAAAUCCUUGUUAGAUAGACAGACCUCCAUAUUUUUUCUAUCUUUUGGGGAUUCUGCGUUAGGGUCUUCUGGUCAACACACACUUUGCUGCCCAGUAGUACCACACUAGGAUGUCCUGUGGAAUCUGUGACCAUACACCCAGUAGCUUUAUGAGUAAACUUGGUGAUUGCAAGUUCCAACAUUUGGAAUCUCUGCUAAUUCCAGGUAGAGUUGAAAUUACUUGCCCCCAUUGGAUUUGUUCCUAAUUCCAGACUUUAUUUUGUGAUACACAUUGAUAUUAUAUGGAAUUUGUUCUUGGUGGUAAAUUAACAAGAAAUGGUAAUUCAUUAAAAUCUCCAACAAACCACUCAACAUGAGACAUACAGCUUUCUUACUGAAGAAAAACAGGGUCAAUAAGACAGCCUCCAGGCAGAGUCAAUAUCUAUCUCUACAACUUGAAGAUGCUCCAGUAACAUUUUCUUGGGACUAUAGUUCACCAGUGAAACAACUUGAAACACUUUAAAAUUAAGUUUCAAAUUUUCAAUGUGAAAAAAAGCUUCUAUCUAUAGGAAAAACAAAUACAUCAACAUUAGCCAUGAAGUGUUAUAAGUUGUGGGUAGAAAAUAUGUCUAUAAAUCUCAAAGGAUGAUAAGCUCUGUCACUGGGCCUGGAAUAGCCUUCACUGCUUCUAGUGAAAAGGGGGUGCUGUCAUUCAUUGUGGAUGAGCCUCAGUGACAUAAUGCAUAAUGAGAGCCAACAGCUGAGGAAGGCAUCACCAAAGGGGAGGGGUCCUUAAAAUGGUUUUGAUUUAAUACAAGGCAUGCACUAUUAAUAAAGAGGUUGAAUGAUACCUGUAUGUUUUAUAGGUUUAUAAAUUGGCUGUAGUAAAAUAUUUUACAUCUUAGAUCACUAGGUUUUGUUUCAGCUGAUUAUGGGAGAUAUCUAUCUAGAGUUGACUGAAUUGUAUUAAUCUGAACCUAGUUUAAUGAUGCCUUAACAUUUUUAUGGGGGAAUUUAAUGUUUGCAAUAUCCUUGUUCCUUAUUUGAAAGCGUGACUUAUAGGUUUCUCAUCUUCCUUAAAUUAUAAAAUCCUUCAGCUAAUAAAGGAAAAUGAUUAUAGUUUGCAAAAAAGGCAAAGUCAUUUAACAAUCCAUAUAACUGUCUAUUGUAGGGCUUUGCAUAAUAAUUGUAAUUUAGCUAUUAGAGAUUCUAAAGGCAGUUAUCAGUCAUACUCUACAAUUCUGGAGGAAUCAGGCAAAGCCCAAAUUAUUUAAAGUAUUUUAAAUUCUCAAAGAAAAAAGGCACACCAUAAAUUUGAAAUAUAAUGUAUCAUGACAAGAUAUUAUUUCAUAGGAAAAGGAAAAAUCCCUCAUAAUUUUCAAAUGCACGAGCCACCAAAUAGAUUUGUUUUCAUCAUUUUGAAUAUAACAUUCAUUUUAUUAAUAAACACAAGCUUCAUAUUAAACAUAUGUUCCUUCAUGGAGGAAUAAAUAACUAGAUGUCAUCAUGGUGACAUGGAAAUGUCAGUGAUUCUGGGACAGUGAAGACAAAGGUCAAGGCUACCAAGAAAGGAAUUGAAGAUUCAGAGAGUGAUGAGGCUUCUUAUCACUGCAUGUCAAUACAAUUAUGACUUUUCAGAUAGUUCUUAGGCUCACUAAGAAUAAUCCAUAACUAGACAAAUAAUAUCUUUUAAACAUAUAAAAUCAUCUUUAAGUCUCUUUGAGUAUAGGCUUAUGUUCAAGUUCAUAAAUUAUUUACAUUUGAAAAUAUGGGCCAUCUGCACAUUUAAUAAAAUGUUAAUUAGUCCAGAGAUGUGAAAAUAACUAUGGGGAUGUUUAAAAAUCAAAAUACUACAAUAUGAAACAUGGAUCCCGUGUAAGUACAAAUAUAGGUGUAGACCCAAAGGAAAAUAAAAGAGUAAUUUGCAGUGAUAUCUGCUCUUCCAUUUUCAUUGUAACAAUUUUUACAAUGGCCAGAAUAUGGAAUAGACUCACAUGGUGAUUACUUUCAUAUUCCAUAAACUUAUUUUAUUAAGUAUAUAAUUUAUAUUUGAUGCUGGCUUCUGCUAGAAAUUCUAUUAUUUUAUUUUUCCCCAUUUUUUCUUUCAUUGAAAUAGAUUCUUCCUAAUGAUAUUCUGAUAUGCUUAUAGACUGGUACCUAUCCCAAUCUUCAUCAGAGAGGCUUCCUCCUGCAGCCGAUGGGAACAGAUACAGACACCCACAGCCAAACAUUAGGUAGAGAGAACCAAAAUUAGAAAUAUUCAUCAGGUCCCUUGCCUUGGAGCUCAGGAAACCCCACAGAAGAGGGGAAGGAAGAGGUAAGCGUCAGAGGAGUUAAGAACACCACAGAAUCAACUAAGCAAGGCUCACAGUGGCUCACAGAGACUAAAAUAUCAAUCACUGAGCCUGCAUGGGUCUAAGCUAGGUCCUCAGCAUAUGUGUCAUGGUUGUGUAACUUGGGUGUUCUUGUGGGACUCCCAGCAGUUGCAUGACUAUCUCUGAAUCUUUUGCCUGCUCUUGGGACCAUUUUCCUCCUCCUAGGUUGCCUUGUCCAGUCUUAAUAUAAGUGAAUGUGCCUAGCCUUGUUGAAAUUUGUUAUUCUGUGUUUGGUUGCUAUCCUUUGGAGACCUGCUUUUUUUUCUGAAGAGAAAAGAGGAGGAGCAGAUCUGGAGUGUAUCUGGUAAGUAGGGGAGGGAGGGAGAAGAAACUGUUGUCUGUUGUUUAUAUAUAUCGUAUGAGAACAAUAAAUAAAAAGAAUAGGAAAUAGGUUGUUUUAUCCUACAGUGUUUCCUGACAUAGGCUCCAGUUAGAAAUACUAAAACACUGAAAUAAAUGAGAAGUAAAUAUUAUGAUUAAACCAAUGUAUCAAAAUUAUCCAUACUUCCUAGUUACUGAGAUGGUGAGGCAGAAGAAAGUCUUCAUUAUAACAGAGAUGUCCAGAUGGCUCAGUGGGAGAAGGUGCUGGCAACCAAGCUUGGUGACCUGGAUUCUAACCAGGGAACCACAUAAUAGAAGAAGAGAAUCAACUCUCACAAGUCAUCCUCUGACCUUCACAAGUGCUAUAUGACCGACAGAUGUCUAUUAAAUAAAGAAAUGUUCAAAUAUUAGAAUACAAACAAAACAAAAUAUGAGGGAUAUUUCUUUACUCAAAUGCAUUAAAAGGCUAAAAUUAUAGGUACAAAUGCUGCUUGGUCAAAGACUAGGAUUUCUCAUGUGCUAGCUUAGUCUUAAUUAUCAUAAAUCUAUAUAUUUUAUAAGACUUAUCUUAUAGGAGGCCAGUGGAAAUGUCCUGUCUUCCCAGGCUCACAUGGUGACUCAGGAGGAAGAGAGAAAAGGGCACGACUUCCCUCUUGCCC